ACGUAGGGGGCAAGCGUUGUCCGGAAUUACUGGGCGUAAAGCGCACGCAGGCGGUUCGUUAAGUCGAAUGUGAAAGAUCGGGGCUCAACCCCGGUUUGCGUUGGAUACUGGCGGACUGGAGUGUCGGAGAGGGAAGGGGAAUUCCCGGUGAGGGGGUAAAAGCCGAAAAAAUCGGAGGAACACCAGUGGCGAAGGCGGCUUCCUGGCCGACAACUGACGCUCAUGUGCGAAAGCUGGGGGAGCAAACGG
rnacentral:rRNA from 1 species